rnacentral:rRNA from 1 species
GAUGAACGCUAGCGGCAGGCUUAACACAUGCAAGUCGAGGGGCAGCAUGACGGAACCUUCGGGUUUUGUUGAUGGCGACCGGCGCAAGGGUGCGUAACGCGUGAGCAACUUGCCCGUUUCAGGGGGAUAACCGGUGGAAACGCCGACUAAUACCCCAUAGUAUCAUAUUUAGGCAUCUUUAUAUGAUUAAAGAAUUUCGGAAACGGAUAGGCUCGCGUGACAUUAGCUAGAUGGCGGGGUAACGGCCCACCAUGGCGACGAUCAGUAGCCGGUCUGAGAGGAUGAACGGCCACAUUGGGACUGAGAUACGGCCCAGACUCCUACGGGAGGCAGCAGUGGGGAAUAUUGGGCAAUGGGGGAAACCCUGACCCAGCAACGCCGCGUGAAGGAAGAAGGCCCUCGGGUUGUAAACUUCUUUUACCAGGGACGAAGAACGUGACGGUACCUGGAGAAAAAGCAACGGCUAACUACGUG